rnacentral:rRNA from 1 species
GGACGAACGCUUGCGGCGUGCCUAAGAAAUGCAAGUCGAGCGGAGGGUCUUCGGACCUUCAGCGGCGAACGGUCGCGUAACACGUAGGCAACCUGCCCCGAAGUGGGGGAUAACAGUCCGAAAGGAUUGCUAAUACCGCAUGUGGCCGGUGGAAGGCAUCUUCUACCGUCUAAAGCAUUUAUGCGCUUCGGGAUGGGCUUGCGGCCUAUCAGCUAGUUGGUGAGGUAAUGGCUCACCAAGGCGACGACGGGUAGCUGGUCUGAGAGGACGAUCAGCCGGAUUGGGACUGAGAUACGGCCCAGACUCCUACGGGGGGCAGCAAUUAGGAAUCUUGCGCAAGUGGGGAAACCCUGACGCAGCGACGCCGCGUGCGGGAGUGAAGGC